AUGAGGCAUAUGUUUCUGACAGCCUCACAGCACACAGCCUGUUGCAAGAUGCCUUUCAAAAGAAGCAGCAGCCUCACCAUGUGUGGAAAAGAUGGGUUUGCCAUUACAGUGCCUGAUGCAGUUAAAAAAAUCUAGCAAGCACUUAGUAACAGCAGCUGGCCUCUAAACGUGUCCAGCAAUUAUUAAACAGGGAUGUGGAAAAUCACAAGUUAUUUUCACAGAAGUUCAAAAAUUAACAUGUAAGAGAGAAAAAGGAAGCAAAUUCAAGACUUGAAGACUACUGAAGAUUUGAAGAUGGUUCACUAAAAACCCACAGGCUAACAAAGAAACUACCAGUUCUCUUGAAAUGCCUCACAUAUACACAUUAAUACCAUAAUGUCUUGUUCUGACUUUUGCUUCAUGCCACAGACAUUUCUGCCAUCUCUAGCAGGAAGAGUCAUGGAUCAGAAAGCAUACUCUGAACAAUCACUGGCCCAAAGAAGAGGGCCUGUGUUUAAUAAACUGUCAGAGACAACCUCACAAGGCUACCCUGGAAGCAGCAAGCUGAAACAAUGGACAAAGACUUCUCAAAACUCAAAAUACUUUUUACACUUCUGUGAGUCCUAUUUCCUGUGUUAACAAUGAGGCAGGCUACAGAAGAGCAAAAGGCAAUUA